rnacentral:rRNA from 1 species
AUGCAUUGGUAUUCUUGGUGGAAACUGUGCUAUCCGAAGAGUGAAGGGGGCAUGGGAUUCCGAGACCUAUACUCAUUUAACCUAGCAAUGCUUUCAAAGCAAUGCUGGAGGUUGCUAAACAAUCCGGAUUCUUUAUGUGCAAAGGAAUUGAAGGCGAAAUACUUCCCUAAUGGUAGUUUACUUCAAGCCACUUUAAAGAAUGGUGCCUCCUUUACUUGGCAGAGUAUUAUGAAGGGUUGGGAGACGUUCAAAUUGGGGUAUAUCUGGCAUAUUGGGUCUGGGGAGAAAGUGAAUAUCUGGAACGAUCCAUGGGUUCCAAGCAGUGCAAAUAGAAGGGUGAUCACGCCGCGGGGUCAUACUAUUUUGUCUACAGUUAGCGGUCUCAUUGACCCAAUAAGUGAGAACUGGGACGAGGAUUUGAUUAGAGCUAUCUUUAAUCCUGUCGAUGUCCGAAGGAUACUAGAAAUCCCACUGAAUCACAAUGCUUUUGAAGAUUUCAUAGCUUGGCACCCGGACCGAAGAGGCAUCUUCUCGGUACGAUCAGCUUACCAUACUCAAUGGAUUCGGACUUUCACGACACAUGCAAAUGCAAUAGCGCAGCCAGGGAGGUCAAACACACCACCAGUUUGGAGUAUUCUAUGGAAACUCCAAAUCCCAUGUAAAGUUCAAAUUUUCUGCUGGCGGACACUACAUGGAAUCCUACCUUUAAAGUCCAUUCUCACUAACAGGCAUGUUGGCGUAUAG